rnacentral:misc_RNA from 1 species
UUGUGGAGGAGGACGUCGAAGGUGGGGCUGAUGACUGGGGUGAAGUCGUAACAAGGUAUCCGUACCGGAAGGUGCGGCUGGAUCACCUCCUAACAGGGAGACAACAAAAUGUAAAUAUUAAUUUUGUCACCCUAGGUCGAUCGGUAUCUCAGAUUCUUAUAUCUUAAGAAUUUCAGUUUCUAAGUUUUUUCUAGGUCACACCCAUUACUUUUUCCUGGGCCAUUAGCUCAGGUGGUUAGAGCGCACCCCUGAUAAGGGUGAGGUCCCUGGUUCAAGUCCAGGAUGGCCCAUAUCUCUAUGUUGGGGGUAUAGCUCAGUUGGUAGAGCGCCUGCUUUGCAAGCAGGAUGUCAGCGGUUCGAGUCCGCUUACCUCCACUGAUUACCACCUCUUCCAUAAAUUUGUAAGGAAAUGUUUUGAGUUGUGAUCAAAUUCUGAGCGAAUCUAGCUUCCUAAUGAAAUCAUUAAGAUGCUGGACUCAUUGAAUUAAAUUCAUUGUUUUCAGAGAACCUUGACAACUGCAUAGAUUAUUUUUUAAAGACAAUAAGCAUCUUUAAUGAUGCAGAUUUAUUAUUUGUGCGAAUGCAUUAAUAACAAUUCUAUUAAGCUGAUGCUUCAAUUUUGAAGUUAUUGGUCAAGCUACAA